UACGUAGGGGGCAAGCGUUGUCCGGAAUCAUUGGGCGUAAAGCGCGUGUAGGCGGCUCGGUAAGUCCGCUCUGAAAGUCCAGGGCUCAACCCUGGGAUGCGGGUGGAUACUGCCGGGCUCGAGUCCGGAAGAGGCGAGUGGAAUUCCUGGUGUAGCGGUGAAAUGCGCAGAUAUCGGGAAGAACACCCGUGGCGAAGGCGGUUCUGCUGGGACGGUACUGACGCUGAGACGCGAAGCGUGGGGAGCGAACAGGAUUAAGAUACC
rnacentral:rRNA from 1 species